rnacentral:rRNA from 1 species
GGGUUUGAUUAUGGCUCAGAUUGAACGCUGGCGGGAUGCUUACACAUGCAAGUCGAACGGCAGCACGGACUUCGGUCUGCGGCGAGUGGCGAACGGGUGAGUAAUGUAUCGGAACGUGCUUCAGUAGCGGGAUAACUACGCGAAAGCGGCCAAUACCGCAUUACCGCCCUUCGGGGAAAGCGGGGACCUUUUCGGGCCUCGCACUAUUAGAGCAUGGCCGAUAUCGGAUUAGCCAGUUGGUGGGGUAACGGCUCACCAAGGCGACGAUCCAGUAGCUGGCUUGAGAGGACGACCAGCCACACUGGGACUGAGACACGGCCCAGGAUCUACGGGAGGCAGCAGUGUGGGGGGAAUUUUGGACAAUGGGGGAAAUCCCUGAUCCAGCCAUCCCCGCGUGUGCGAUGAAGGCCUUCGGGUUGUAAAGCACUUUUGGCAGGAAAGAACGGCACGGAUAAUACCCCGUGCAACUGACGGUACCUGCAGAAUAAGCACCGGCUAACUACGCCAGCAGCCGCGGUAAUACGUAGGGUGCAAGCGUUAAUCGGAAUUACUGGGCGUAAAGCGUGCGCAGGCGGUUCGGAAAGAAAGAUGUGAAAUCCCAGAGCUAACUUUGGAACUGCAUUUUUAACUACCGAGCUAGAGUGUGUCAGAGGGAGGUGGAAUUCCGCGUGUAGCAGUGAAAUGCGUAGAUAUGUGAGGAACACCGAUGGCGAAGGCAGCCUCCUGGGAUAACACUGACGCUCAUGCACGAAAGCGUGGGGAGCAAACAGGAUUAGAUACCCUGGUAGUCCACGCCCUAAACGAUGUCAAUCAGCUGUUGGGGCCUGGGCCUGGUAGCGCAGCUAACGGGCAGAAGUUGACCGCCUGGGGAGUACGGUCGCAAGAUUAAAACUCAAAGGAAUUGACGGGGACCCGCACAAGCGGUGGAUGAUGGAUUAAUUCGAUGCAACGCGAAAAACCUUACCUACCCUUGACAUGUCUGGAAUCCCGAAGAGACGGGGGAGGCUCGCAAGAGAACCGGAACACAGGUGCUGGCAUGGCUGUCGUCAGCUCACAGUGUCGUGAGAUGUUGGGUUAAGUCCCAACGAGCGCAACCCUUGUCAUUAGUUGGUUUACGAAAGUGGCACUCUAAUGAGACUGCCGGUGACAAACCGGAGGAAGGUGGGGAUGACGUCAAGUCCUUCAUGGCCCUUAUGGGUAGGGCUUCACACGUCAUACAAUGGUCGGGACAGAGACGCCAACCCGCGAGGGGAGCCAAUCCCAGAAACCCGAUCGUAGUCCGGAUCAACUGCAACUCGACUGCGUGAAGUCGGAAUCGCUGGUAAUCGCGGAUCAGCAUGUCGCGGUGAAUACGUUCCCGGGUCUUGUACACACCGCCUGUCACACCAUGGGAGUGGGUUUUACCAGAAGUAGUUAGCCUAACCGUAAGGAGGGCGAUUACCACGGUAGGAUUCAUGACUGGGGUGAAGUCGCAAAUGGCAA